CCUACGGGCGGCAGCAGUGAGGAAUAUUGGUCAAUGGCCGGAAGGCUGAACCAGCCAUGCCGCGUGAAGGUCAGUGCCCUAUGGGCGUUAAACUUCUUUUGUGCGGGAGCAAUAAUGGUCACGUGUGGACCGACGAGAGUACCGUACGAAUAAGCAUCGGCUAACUCCGUGUCAGCAGCCGCGGUAAUACGGGGGGUGCAAGCGUUAUCCGGAUUUAUUGGGUUUAAAGGUUGCGUAGGCUGGGAGGUAAGGCAGCGUGGGAAUGCCCCGGCUCAACGGGGUGAAGUGCCAUUGAUACUGGCUUGCUGGAAUGCGGAUGCGGUGGGAGGAAUGUGUGGUGUAGCGGUGAAAUGCAUAGAUAU
rnacentral:rRNA from 1 species